AGAGUUUGAUCAUGGCUCAGGAUGAACGCUAGCUACAGGCUUAACACAUGCAAGUCGGAGGGGCAGCAUGAACUUAGCUUGCUAAGUUUGAUGGCGACCGGCGCACGGGUGAGUAACACGUAUCCAACCUGCCGGACGACUCGGGGAUAGCCUUUCGAAAGAAAGAUUAAUACCCGAUAGCAUAGUUCUUCCGCAUGGUAGAACUAUUAAAGAAUUUCGGUCAUCGAUGGGGAUGCGUUCCAUUUA
rnacentral:rRNA from 1 species